CUCCCAUCCAGCAGGGGGAACUAAAGGUUCAUUUUGCAGGCAACAAUCCCAUCAUGGCUGCCACAAACAAACAAACAAUCCUCGUGCAUGCAAUAGAGACAUCUUCAUUUGUGUUUCUCAUGCUGGAAGUUUGUCUUCAAUGCUGCAAGCGAGACAAAAUGUUCAAAGGAGGAAAGUCCACAGAAUUGAGCGCCGACGCCUCGUGAGGCAUCUGAAGACAAAGUUGGAGAUGUUUGGAGAGAAGACAACGGCGGGGAUUUUACACCACAAGACAAGCAAGAGGAGGACGGACCAGCACCGGAGGAGCCACGAAGAGAUAUAAGGAAUCAAAUUCUAACAUUUUCCAACAGACAGUAUCUACAGUGGUGGAUCGAUGGAUCUGCGCGAUCGAUCGAUCGAUAGCGCUGCGCCCGAGAUGGAUCCAUCGUUAGCGCACAAAUCGAUCGAUUUCUGCGCCCACGAUCUAUGGUAUAUUAUUGUGCACGGGAUGGGUGUGUGUAGUUUGUUUAGAUGCCAACAGAUGGCAGCGCUGAGCGUUGUUACUUACAAGAAUCAACAAGAAGUCGAUGCAUGCAAAUUUCAAAUCUUUGAUUAAUUGUCAAGCAGUUCACUUUGUUACCGUUUUAGACAUUGUAUGCAAUUAGCAGAUCGAUUGUCAUUAUAAUUUCAUGUUUUCGCUUUAAACAUUGUGUAUGAUGUGACCUUGUAUCUCCCUUUUUAAAAUAAAAUUGAUAAUCUAAUAAAUAAAAGCAAAACAUUUCCCUAACCCUAAAUAAAGUAUUCUAUUAUUAUUAGCUUUCGAAGGCAAUAUAUAUUUUUAGAGACACAAUAAAACGAACAACUACAAGUUAACAAAUAUCUAUUUUACAAACCAACAUGAACUCAUGUAUUUAUGAGUUACUUUUAUUUCAACGUUCCUUUUGUUGUCAAAUCAAAGCUUUGUCCGCCGUCAGCGCAGUGUCAAAGCAUCGUUCUCCAGCGCAAUAUCCAUUGCGAGUGCAGAAAUCGAUCGAUUUGUGUGCUAACGAUGGAUCCAUCUCGGAUCCAUCUAUCGCUCGAUCGCGCAGAUCCAUCGUUAGCGUGUAAUACACCUAUAUCCAUAUUUUGUUUUCAUCUGAAAACAAUGCAGUACUUGUGUGUUUUGUAGCUUUUCAUUGGCCAGCAAUGAUAGUAGGUAUGUUACUACCUUCAGGAAGGAGAUUAUGUAUGCAUACAUUAUCUUAAUUAACAACUGAGCUGAUUUCCAGAUAAUUUUGGUGCAGGUUUGGAAGGUUAAAGUGUAUCAAAGUAAUUUGGUUCUGUAUAUUUCAGUGUAUGGAUUGAUUUUUGAACCACAAUUCCCUAAGUACUCCUUAAUUAACGUACGCACAACUCAUUGUAGAGGUUAGGUUGUGGAACAACAACAACGACGUCCAUCAAUGUAGUCCAUUUCUCAUAUAUUACCUUUAUUCUGGAGUGGAUGGUGGGGAUAUCAGGAGCGCCCCUACUGCUACUGUCCAGGUGCCUGCAUGCAACAAUGAAUAAGUUAAUGCUAUAGCGCGGCAGCAAAGGUCAUGUAAUACAAUAGGGAAGAGCUCCACAGCAUAUUGAAAUAAAAUCAAACCAAAAAAACCCAGCAAAAAUUGUAAUAUAAAGGCAUUAAAGAGAAAAACUAAAUUAAAAAAUACUUUGAAAUAUUAAAGUGGGCCCUGCUUCCUUUGAUUUUCAAUAUGCAGCCAUCUGUGGAAGAAGGAAGAAGCAUCUCUUGUGUACUGCCCCCUUGUGGGCAUGCCACAGACAUUCCAAGGAAUUUGUCUUAGGCCAGGGGUCUCAAACACAUGGCCGUAGUUUGAGGCCCCCGCCUUGAUAUGGAAGUUUAAUGUUAGUGCGGCCCGCGCAAGUUUGAUAUGGAUGCUGUAUGGUAUCAUGUACCCAGAAAAAAUUAUUACGUUUGAUUAAUGUUCAUGUUAAAGGUUAAAUAACUGUUAAUAGUUAUCCUCCCUAUCCGUGUGGAAGUGGUAAGUUUUUGGCUAUUUAAG